rnacentral:tRNA from 1 species
AGGGUGGUAUAUCAAUUGGUUAGAUUACUCCGUUUGGAACGGCGAGGUCAUCGGUUCGAUUCCGGUUUACCCUG